AUGAAUGGCGAAUAUUACCAGGAGAGUAAUGGGCCAACAGACAGUUAUGCAGCUAUUUCACAGUGGAUCGAUUGCAAUCAGAGCCUGAAAGUAUCCGUAAAUGGAGAGAAGAGCAAACGGAACGCUUGGAAGCCCUUAUCAGGAGAGAUCUGGUGUCUCUACAUGAUGCCAAUUCUCGGAAACAAGAAGCAAAGUGGAAAGAAAAAGCAAUAAAGGAGCUAGAAGAGUGGUAUGCAAGACAGGAUGAGCAGCUACAGAAAACAAAAGCAAACAACAGGGCAGCAGAAGAAGCCUUUGUAAACGACAUUGAUGAGUCCUCCCCAGGCACGGAGUGGGAGCGGGUGGCCCGGCUGUGUGACUUUAAUCCCAAGUCCAGCAAACAGGCCAAAGAUGUCUCCCGCAUGCGCUCAGUCCUCAUCUCCCUCAAGCAGGCCCCCCUGGUGCACUGAAGAGCCACCCUGUGGAAACACUACAACUGCAAUAUCUUAAUCCUACUCAAUGAGGCUAUUCACAGUAAUUGGAUUAAUUAUGUUGAGUUCUUUUGGACCAAACCUUUUUUGUCUUUUAGAGUUGAUCAUUGUUUGUGAUUGCAUGUUUCCUUCAACUGUGUUCUUUCUCCCUGGCAUUCAGAGAGGAGGGGGAGGAGGAGGAAGGGAGGGAAGCUCCACAUUAGCCUCACCCUGUGCUUUUGUGCAUUAUUCUGAGAAUAAAUUUUUGUU